rnacentral:rRNA from 1 species
GGGUGCGAUCAUACCAGCACUAAUGCACCGGAUCCCAUCGGAACUCCGCAGUUAAGCUUGCUUGGAUGAUGUGUAGAAGUUUUAUGCAUACCUACUCUGUGAGUAAAUUUUUGGAAUGCAUCCA